rnacentral:rRNA from 1 species
AGUGAGAAUGCCGGAAUGAGUAGCGAGAAUUAUGUGGGAAUCAUAAUGGCCGAAAAUCUAAGGUUUCUUGGGGAAGGUUCGUCCGCCCAAGGUAAGUCGGGAGCUAAGCUCAGGCCGAGAGGCGUAGGCGAUGCACAUACGGUAGAAAUUCCGUAACCACCGAAACUUAAACAGAGGGACACUUCGAAAUAGCGGAACCCGGGCGUUGGUUGACCCGGGCGAAAGGGAGCGAAAUUAGAGUAGCGAAGUCCGCGAUGUUCGGAGGCGAGAAAAGCUCUGAGGUAUGCUAAGGUGCCCGUACCGCAAACCGACACAGGUAGAUGAGGAGAGAAUCCUAAGGCCAACGGGAGAAGGGUUGUUAAGGAACUCGGCAAAUUGACCCCGUAACUUCGGAAGAAGGGGAGCCCCCUACGGGGGGUCGCAGAGAAAUGGCCCAAGCAACUGUUUACCAAAAACACAGGUCUAUGCUAAAUCGAAAGAUGACGUAUAUGGGCUGACGCCUGCCCGGUGCCGGAAGGUUAAGAGGAGAUGUCAGGCAACGAAGCAUUGAAUUUAAGCCCCGGUAAACGGCGGCCGUAACUAUAACGGUCCUAAGGUAGCGAAAUUCCUUGUCAGGUAAGUUCUGACCCGCACGAAUGGCGUAAUGAUUUGGGCACUGUCUCAACAGCCCGCCCGGCGAAAUUGUAGUACUGGUGAAGAUGCCAGUUACCCGCAACUAGACGGAAAGACCCCAUGGAGCUUUACUGCAGCUUAAUACUGAAAUUCGGUAGUACAUGUACAGGAUAGGUGGGAGACUGAGAAAUACAGGCGUCAGCUUGUAUGGAGUCGCUGUUGGGAUACCACUCUUGUACUGCUGGGUUUCUAACCUGCGGCCGUGAAUCCGGUCGGGGGACACUGUUAGGCGGGCAGUUUGACUGGGGCGGUCGCCUCCAAAAGAGUAACGGAGGCGCUCAAAGGUUGGCUCAGCACGGACGGAAAUCGUGCAAUGAGUGUAAACGUAUAAGCCAGCCUAACUGCGAGACCGACGGGUCGAGCAGUAACGAAAGUUGGAGUUAGUGAUCCGGUGGUAUGUGAGUGGAAAUGCCAUCGCUCAACGGAUAAAAG